CAUGCAUGUCUAAGUAUAAAUUCUUGUACGAUGAAACUGCAGACGGCUCAUUACAACAGUGAUAAACUAAUAGACUUUCGGGUUUUACCUUUUGGAUAACCGCAGUAAAUCGGGGCUAAUACAUAGAAGCGAGGGGUGACUGAUUUAUCGGAAGCUCCGCGAUUAUUAGCAUUCAACCAAUACCCGCAAGGGUUCUGUUGGUGAAACCGAAUAAUAUUGCAGAUCGAAGAUUUAUCUUCGACAAGUCUACUGUGUCACUGCCCUAUCAACUUUCGAUGGUACGGUAUUGGCCUACCAUGGUUGUAACGGGUAACGGGGAAUUAGGGUUCGAUUCCGGAGAGGGAGCCUGAGAAAUGGCUACCACUUCUACGGAAGGCAGCAGGCGCGCAAAUUACUCAAUCCCAAUACGGGGAAGUAGUGACAAUAAAUAUCGAUGCCUAUCCAUUUUUGGAAGGGUAAUUGAAAUGAACACAAAUUAAAACUCUUAAUUAAUACAAUUGGAGGGCAAGUCUGGUGCCAGCAGCCGCGGUAAUUCCAGCUCCAAUAGCAUAUACUAAAGUUGUUGCAGUUAAAAAGCUCGUAGUUGAAGUUAAAGCUUUAUUUGGGUUAAAAAUCCAUUUGCCUUUUAACGGUUAAAUAGGAUUCCAGUAUUGCUUUUUUAAAGUUCAGUUGGUAUUGCCUUUGGUAGUACUUAUUUGGACAUUUCACUGUGAGAAAAUUGUGGUGUUUAAAGCAGGCGUCUCUGUCUGAUCUUUUGCAGCAUGGUAUGAUGGAACAUGACAUUUUGCGCAAUUGGUUGCGAUUAAAGUGUAAUGAUUAAUAGGGAUGGAUGGGGGUGUUCAUAUUGGUGGGCGAGAGGUGAAAUUCGUUGACCCUAUCAAGAUGAACUUCUGCGAAAGCAUUCACCAAAUACUUCCCCAUUAAUCAAGAACGAAAGUUUGGGGAUCGAAGACGAUCAGAUACCGUCGUAGUCCAAACUAUAAACUAUGUCGACCAGGGAUCGGUUAAAUCUUUUUAAAAGUUUAAUCGGCACCUUGUGAGAAAUCACGAGUGUUUAGAUUCCGGGGGGAGUAUGGUCGCAAGUCUGAAACUUAAAGGAAUUGACGGAAGGGCACACAAUGGAGUGGAGCCUGCGGCUUAAUUUGACUCAACUCGGGAAAACUUACCAAGCUAAGAUAUAGUAAGGAUUGACAGACUAAGAGAUCUUUCAUGAUUCUAUAAGUGGUGGUGCAUGGUCGUUCUUAGUUGGUGGAGCGAUUUGUCUGGUCAAUUCCGAUAACGGACGAGACCUCGACCUGCUAACUAGUAGUAUUUAUUGGCCGUUAUGGAUGAUAGCUAUUCGGGGUUUGGAAGGGUUUCGGCUCUCUCCGCUUCGUGUGGUGUGUAAUCUGGUCGGAUAGGUACGAAUUAAAACUUCUUAGAGGGACUACCUGCCUCAAGCAGGCGGAAGUCCGAGGCAAUAACAGGUCUGUGAUGCCCUUAGAUACCUUGGGCCGCACGCGCGCUACAAUGUAGAAAGCAAAAAGGUUCCUGGUCCGGAAGGAUUGGGUAAUCAAUUGAAUUUUCUACGUAACUGGGAUUGAUCUUUGUAAUUAUUGAUCAUCAACGAGGAAUUCCUUGUAAGCGUAAGUCAUUACCUUAUGCUGAAUAUGUCCCUGCCCUUUGUACACACCGCCCGUCGCUCCUACCGAUCGAAUGAUACGGUAAAGCCAACGGAUAAGAUCCUUUUGGGCAACCAAUUGGAUUUUAAAAGUUGU
rnacentral:rRNA from 1 species